UACGGAGGAUGCAAGCGUUAUCCGGAAUUAUUGGGCGUAAAGCGUCCGCAGGUGGUUAUCCAAGUCUGCUGUUAAAGCGCGAGGCUUAACUUCGUACAGGCAGUGGAAACUGGGUGACUGGAGUAUGGUAGGGGUAGCGGGAAUUCCCAGUGUAGCGGUGAAAUGCGUAGAUAUUAGGAAGAACACCAGCGGCGAAAGCGCGCUACUGGGCCAUUACUGACACUCAUGGACGAAAGCUAGGGGAGCGAAAGGG
rnacentral:rRNA from 1 species